rnacentral:rRNA from 1 species
AUUGAACGCUGGCGGCAUGCCUUACACAUGCAAGUCGAACGGUAACGGGCCUUCGGGUGCCGACGAUUGGCGAACGGGUGAGUAAUACAUCGGAACGUGCCCGAUCGUGGGGUAUAACGAGGCGAAAGCUUUGCUAAUACCGCAUACGAUCUACGGAUGAAAGCCGGGGACCGCAAGGCCUUGCGCGGGCGGAGCGGCCGAUGGCAGAUUAGGUAGUUGGUGGGAUAAAAGCUUACCAAGCCGACGAUCUGUAGCUGGUCUGAGAGGAUGAUCAGCCACAUUGGGACUGAGACACGGCCCAGACUCCUACGGGAGGCAGCAGUGGGGAAUUUUGGACAAUGGGCGCAAGCCUGAUCCAGCCAUGCCGCGUGCAGGAUGAAGGCCUUCGGGUUGUAAACUGCUUUUGUACGGAACGAAAAGCCUUCUUUUAAUACAGGAGGGUCAUGACGGUACCGUAAGAAUAAGCACCGGCUAACUACGUG